rnacentral:lncRNA from 1 species
GAAAAGGUGGUUGGUCUUUAAGACAUUACAUGGGCCCAAAUGGUUUAGCCCAAAACAGAAACGCCCAAGAACCAGCCCAAAACCACUCAAACCCGGCCUGGCCCAAGCUGAGCCGAAAUGAUGCCAUUUCACUUCAUUUAAUCAGAUCCCUUUAACCUCUUCAUCCAACGGCUCAGAAGCCCUCCCCAGUUUGCAUAUAAGUGUCCGAAAAUGAAUUAACCCUAAAAACAUACGCUUCUUCCUCGUACUCAUCUGUAAUGCCGCCGCCGCCGCCGCCGGUGAAUGCCACCACCUCCAUUGCCUCCCAAAAUAACACCCCAAACUCCCAUUUUCAUCCUCUUUCCGAAUAUGCAAAAUGGCUUCCCUCGAAUCCACCCAGAGAGCUUCGAAUCUCCGUUUGAAUAUUUUUCAUCCAUAAUGUGACUUCAUCCAAAUCAACCCAAAUUAACACUCCAAAAUCGCAUGGGCCUCCUCUACCCAAUCCCCUAACCUCACUCCUCGAGUAUGGCCGGAAAGAUUCGAAUUUUAGUUUUUAGAGUUUCCAACCAAGAACCCUAUGCCCAAAUUACUCCCACACUGAAAUCUGGUGACCCUUUCAUCAUCCAUAUGAGGAUUUCAAUGGCAUAGAGUCCAAUGUCGCCGGAAAUGAUCGAAUUUGAAGAUUGGAACUCAACCGGAGUUCGAGCCAUGGCAGUGAUGUUUUAUUUCUUAUUUAAUUAUUUUAUGUUUGCUUCUUUGAUCAUAUUCUUUAAUUUUUAGUUAAGACGUAUCUGGAGUUUUGUUGAUUUCUUUUAUCCCAAUUUCGUGAAAUUUGUUUUGUUUGUCUUAGUUUAGUUUGAUUAUUAGCAUGGUUUGAGAUUAAAAUUUGUUUUGAUAAUUGGAUUUUAGUCUGACUAGGGUUCCAAUCAUUUCUUGAUUUGUGUCUUAAAUUCAUUGCUUCAUUGGUUAAUAUGAAGAUUGUGAAGUUAACUAGUUUCAGUGGUUAGAUAAUCAUGGUUAGGAUUUGGACAUGGUUAGACUAAUUUAGUAGUUUCACAUAAGUUCAAGGUAUUUCAGGUAACUAGCAAGGUUCAGAGGUGUGUAGAUUAUACCUGAAACUUCUAGAACCUUCUGGAGAGGGGGUAGAAUUAGAAUUUCAGAGAUUGAGUAUACUUGCUUGAGUCAAGUCAACAAACAAGGGGUUUAAAAGUUGAAAAUAGGGAGGGGCUAAAAAAGAAAAACUAAAAUCUGAUUGCUCACCUCUUAGGUUCUUAUAAAAGGGCACUCAAAUGCCUUGGUGAGGAGUCCUCUUUCAGUCAUCUAGUUUCAGAAAAAGCUAUUUCUCUUCUGUUUUCAAAUCUGAAAUAGAAAAUUCCAAUUUCAAAACCAAAAACAAAAAUAAAAUAAACAACAAAAUUGAAAAAUCAAAAAAAUAUUACCGUUCCACUAGAAUCAUAAGCUAAUUCCAGCUUUUAGUUUUUGAUUCGCAUGCUGUAGUUGCUGGAUUUGAUUGUUGAAGUGUAGAGGGUCAUUUUGUGUGCAAUUGAAUCAAUUUAAGUAGAUUUUUGGGCUGAGUUUUGCACCAGUACAAUUUCAGAAGGGUUGCAGUUCAGCUUUGAAUUAUUUUGGUGAUUUCGAGUCAAAAUUGUGUUUUGACUCCAGUUUGGGAGUUUUACUAGCUAUCUGUGCGUUGGUGUUCAUUUAUGGGUUGAAAUUUUGCUGUGUUGGGGUGGAUUUGUUGCUUGAAUUGAACACUUCCGAACCAUUUGACCUCAUUAUUGGCCUGUUAGUUAUUCAAAUCUGCUGAUAACUGACACUGUUGCUGACUUACUCUUCUCACCCAUUAUUCUUCAAUUUCCAGGUACAUUCUCAUUGUCCCUUGACCCCGAUGUCUGAUUCACUUGUGUAAACACCUAUGAAAUCCUUGAAUAAUGAAGAACUGCUCAUUGGGUUCAUCUAGAGUUGUUGAUUAACUGUUAAUAUAACCCAGUCAUUCAUAUUAAGUGUAAUUAGUUUUGGAGAUUUGUUUGAUGAAUUCAUACUUUAGUUUGUCUGUAAUGGGUUAGCUAGAUUGUUAAUUCGUAGUAGACUAUUUGGACAUUUGGACUAAUAAAUAAUAAACUGCUAAAUUAGUUAGAUAUAUUCUUUGUGGGUACUAUUCAAUUAGUAUUGUUUAUAUAAUGAAGAGUUUUCAGUGAAAUUCAUGGGAAUGUAGUUCAUAACUGUUUCCAAUAAGGCAUUUCAGUUGGUGUAGUUUAACAAUUUAGAUAUGGCGUUAAUUGCAUAUUGAAAAGUAUUAGUAAAAAUAUCAGUCUUGUUAUGAAUACACUUCUAUUUAAGGUGAAUCUCUUUAAUCAGAGAGAUUCUAGAGUCCUAUUAUUGGUAGAUAAAUCAUCCUACUCCCUAUAAAUAGAGGUGCCCUCUACCAUUGUAAAUAACUCCGAACAUUCCCAAAGUAUCAAUAAGAAUACUCCUCUCUACUUUUCUCUCUAUUGUUCUUGUUCUUAUAUU